rnacentral:rRNA from 1 species
CCUACGGGUCGCAGCAGUGGGGAAUAUUGCACAAUGGGCGAAAGCCUGAUGCAGCGAUACCGCGAGAGCGAUGAAGGCCUUCGGGUCGUAAAGCUCUGUCCUUAAGGAAGAAUAAUGACGGUACUUAAGGAGGAAGCACCGGCUAACUACGUGCCAGCAGCCGCGGUAAUACGUGGGGUGCAAGCGUUGUCCGGAAUCACUGGGCGUAAAGAGUUCGUAGGCGGCCUAUCAAGUCAGGUGUGAAAGGCAUUGGCUCAACCAAUGUAAGCACUUGAAACUGUUGGGCUUGAGUGUUGGAGAGGAGAGUGGAAUUCCUAGUGUAGCGGUGAAAUGCGUAGAUAUUAGGAGGAGCACCAGUGGCGAAGGCGGCUCACUGGCCUGUAUCUGACGCUGAGGCGCGAAAGCGUGGGUAGCAAACAGGAUUAGAUACCCGUGUAGUC